rnacentral:rRNA from 1 species
CCUACGGGUGGCAGCAGUGAGGAAUAUUGGUCAAUGGACGAGAGUCUGAACCAGCCAAGUAGCGUGAAGGAUGACUGCCCUAUGGGUUGUAAACUUCUUUUAUAUGGGAAUAAAACGUUCCACGUGUGGGAUUUUGUAUGUACCAUAUUAAUAAGGAUCGGCUAACUCCGUGCCAGCAGCCGCGGUAAUACGGAGGAUCCGAGCGUUAUCCGGAUUUAUUGGGUGUAAAGGGAGCGUAGGUGGAUUGGUAAGUCAGUUGUGAAAGUUUGCGGCUCAACCGUAAAAUUGCAGUUGAAACUGGCAGUCUUGAGUACAGUAGAGGUGGGCGGAAUUCGUGGUGUAGCGGUGAAAUGCUUAGAUAUCACGAAGAACUCCGAUGGCGAAGGCAGUUCACUGGACUGCAACUGACACUGAGGCUCGAAAGUGUGGGUAUCAAACAGGAUUAGAUACCCCAGUAGUC